UACAGAGGGGGCAAGCGUUGUUCGGAAUUACUGGGCGUAAAGGGCGCGUAGGCGGCCUUCUAAGUCGAACGUGAAAUCCCUCGGCCUAACCGAGGAAUUGCGCCCGAAACUACCUUGCUUGAGGAUGGAAGGGGAGCGUGGAAUUCCUGGUGGAGCGGUGAAAUGCGUUGAUAUCAGGAGGAACACCGGCGGCGAAGGCGACGCUCUGGUCCAUUACUGACGCUGAGGUGCGAAAGCCAGGGGAGCAAACGGG
rnacentral:rRNA from 1 species